rnacentral:rRNA from 1 species
UAGUCCACGCCGUAAACGAUGUGUGCUAGAUGUCGGGUCCAUAGGAUUCGGUGUCGCAGCUAACGCACUAAGCACACCGCCUGGGGAGUACGGUCGCAAGAUUAAAACUCAAAGGAAUUGACGGGGACCCGCACAAGCGGUGGAGCAUGUUCUUUAAUUCGACGCAACGCGAAGAACCUUACCUACACUUGACAUACUCGUCGGGGAUUUCAGAGAUGAUUUCCUUCAGCUUGGCUGGACCAUGUACAGGUGCUGCACGGCUGUCGUCAGCUCGUGUCGUGAGAUGUUGGGUUAAGUCCCGCAACGAGCGCAACCCUCAUCCUUAGUUGCUAACAUUUAGUUGAGAACUCUAAGGAAACUGCCGGUGAUAAACCGGAGGAAGGUGGGGAUGACGUCAAGUCUUCAUGGCCCUUAUGGGCUGGGCUACACACGUGCUACAAUGGCGAUGACAAAGGGCAGCGACUCCGCGAGGGGAAGCUAAUCUCAAAAAGUCGUCUCAGUUCGGGUUG